AGCGGCGAACGGGUGCGUAACACGUGGAUUACUUGCCCUCUGGCGGGGGAUAACAACUGGAAACGGUUGCUAAUACCGCAUGUGGUCCGCAAGGAAGAAAGGCGCGUUUGCGCCACCAGAGGAUAGGUCCGCGUCCCAUUAGCUAGUUGGUGAGAUAAUAGCCCACCAAGGCUGUGAUGGGUAGCCGAGCUGAGAGGUUGAUCGGCCACACUGGGACUGAGACACGGCCCAGACACCUACGGGUGGCAGCAGUAGGGAAUAUUGGACAAUGGGCGAAAGCCUGAUCCAGCCAUGCCGCGUGAGUGACGAAGGCCUUCGGGUCGUAAAGCUCUUUUCUGAGGGAAGAACGGUCCGGGUAGGAAAUGCCCCGGAAUUGACGGUACCUCAGGAAUAAGGAACGGCUAACUCCGUGCCAGCAGCCGCGGUAAUACGGAGGUUCCAAGCGUUGUUCGGAAUUACUGGGCGUAAAGGGGGCGCAGGCGGCCUGGUCAGUGGAAAGUGGAAGCCCGGGGCUCAACCUCGGAAGGCCUUUCCAUACUGCCUGGCUUGAGUUCGUGAGAGGGAAGCGGAAUUCAGGGUGUAGCGGUGAAAUGCUUAGAUAUCCUGAGGAACACCGAUGGCGAAAGCAGCUUCCUGGCACGAUACUGACGCUCAUGCCCGAAAGCGUGGGGAGCGAACAGGAUUAGAUACCCUGGUAGUCCACGCCGUAAACGUUGUGCACUAGGUGCA
rnacentral:rRNA from 1 species